rnacentral:lncRNA from 1 species
CAUGUAAGCGAAAGGAAAGAGAGUGAUUGAUUUCAUAAUUCAUUACGUGUGAGGGCUCAGUCAACCACAAUUUCUCGUUUGUCUCGUAAUUUAAGAAAAACCCUUUUAUUUCUCUUUCAUUAUAGCAGUUGACAGUUUAGAAAAUCACCUUCUUUUGUUGGUAUCAACCAUGGAAGAUCGUAAGGAGGUGAGUUCUUAUCUUUUUCUUUUUUUUUUCAAAGUGUUAAAGCUUUGGAGAGUUUAUGUUUUUGUAUAUAAGAACUCUUGGAGAUGAAGUUCAGUGGUUAUAAUAAUCAGUUUGGAGUUUUAUAGAUCGAGAAGUUUUAUCAUUUUCUCCUUUUCUUUGCAACCAAACGAAGUUCAGCCAUGGAUGUGUUUCAGUAGCUUUUUUUCUUUCUUUUUUUUUAUAUGUAUGUGGGGUUACACUUUCUGUUAACCUUUCCAUUCUCAACUCUCAAAAGGUGUUUGGGAGGUAAGAAAACUUUCAAAAGGUGAAGUUCCUUUUUAUUUUUUACAUAUUUUUCUUUUCCUUUGCCUUUAUCUUUCUCAGACAUUGAACAGACAAAGCUGUGCCAUGUCCUUUUUCAUCUGAAUUAAGUUAACCCCUUUUCCUUAAAUGAAAAAACUAUGUUUAUAUCACUAUAUAGAUAUAUUCUUUAAGUUUAUUCCACGGAAAAAUCGAUAAUUGUAGAGUUAAAAAGAAAAAAAAAAAGGACCAGGGGCAUUAUAUAAGUAUUUUAUUUUAUUUUUUGAAGUUUGUGGUUGAUUUUGUAACAGUGGUUCAGAUUUUAGCCUUAAAAAAUUGGAAACAAAGCAUUGAUACUAUUGUUGUGACCAAAUUUGAGAGGGAACAAUUCAUUCUAUUUUCGACCAAUUGUAGUUAAUGAUUGUUGGCUUACUUUGUUGAAGUUAAAACAAGCAUUGAUGCUAUUGCUAAGGUUGAGUUAAUUAAUAUGUUGUUUUGGGUCUUAAAUUGAUAUAGAAAAAUGCUCCUUGGCUAUCAGUGCCACAAUUUGGGGACUGGGACCAGAAGGGAGAGCUGCCAGAUUACUCGCUUGACUUCUCAAAGGUUAGGGAAAUAAGGAAGCAGAACAAGAGUUAAGUUUCAAGAGCACUGGAAAUAAAAGAUUUUAUUAAUCCACUCAACCAGUAGCAGACUGCUCCUAUGAUGAAAGACCAUUGAACCAUUCUCCAACUGAAGAUUUUAACUAACUUCCAAAUGCUUUAUUCAUUGAACUCUAAAUAUAGCUUUCUUCUUUCAUUUUGGUAUGCUUAAAUGGGACAAUGCCUUAGCAGAAAAUAUAAAGCUAUUUUGUUGGCAAUGUGCAUGCAUGUGGUAUUUGGUUUGCUAGUUGAUAAUUUAAUCUUUUCUUUGAUGUUUGCCCGCAAUUAAUCUGUAGCAUAUAACUUGGUGCUUUGAUAAAACCCAAUUAGGUUUUGAUUGUGGCAGCAUGAUUCAUUUGGUUGACCUAGUUGUAGGAAUAAUUUUCCAAUUCCUUUAUCUUUGUGGUCAUAAAAUUAAAGAUAAGAACGUUGAGAUAUAAAUCAUGUAUACCCCUGAUUUCUUAAUCUGCGCUUGUAGAUAUUUAUACUUUUCUCGCUUUGACAAAUUUGUGAUGAGCAUAUCUUUAGGAGCAUGUGGUUCUGUUUCGCUGAUGACAGAAAUCAACUACCAAAUGAACAUUUAGAAUCUUUUUACAAAGAAACUGAUCUUAAUUAUGAUAAGGGUACGUAUAACUUCCAGACGUGGUAUCAGUUGAGCCUGCUGACAACAGUCUCGUGACUUUGAAUGCUUAUGGGGUCUGAUAGUGCUGCAACAUCAUCCAUGUCGCGAAUGUUUUUAAUGGUUUAUCUCUAUGAAUGAGUGAUGGAGAUGGAUGACAAAAGACAGGGAAAGUGCUUAUGAUAACUCAAAAACUAACAUAUGAUCUAUGUUAGACCUUCCCUAGGUCACACGUAAGUGCAUGUGGUGCACAUGCAACACGUUGUUUUGUCCAUGUAAUGACCAUGGCAGUGGGCAAUUGACUCAUUCUCUGUUGGAAAGAAUUUAUUCCUUCUGCAAAAAGGAGAAAAAGAAAAAAAAUGCUUGGCAUGUUGUGCUCUGUUGUUGAUUAAUUAAUUUGACAUAAUUUGUUCUAUAUUGGAACUUUUUUUGAUGCACUGAAUCGAUCACAGGACUUUCUCUAUUGUUGAUCAAUUAAUUUUUUAAUCUUUUAUCUCUUUUGCUUUUAAUUACAACAAUCCUGGAAUUUUUCAUUUCAGCUCAUUACCUCAUUGCUUUUUAAUUUUCUUGACAGACAAGGAGGAGUUUCUUCAGCUACUUCAACUGCUGCGUCAAGGCCUGAUUCUGAAGAACACUCUUUUUCCCUUCUAUGUUUUUGUUUUCUGAUCUUUUUUUUUUUAUUCU